CGGGUUGUAAAGCACUUUCAGUAGGGAGGAAGGUAGUGUAGUUAACACCUGCAUUAUUUGACGUUACCUACACGAAGAAGCACCGGCUAACUCCGUGCCAGCAGCCGCGGUAAUACGGAGGGUGCGAGCGUUAAUCGGAAUUACUGGGCGUAAAGCGCAUGCAGGCGGCCUGUUAAGUCAGAUGUGAAAGACCCGGGGCGUUAACCUCGGAAUUGCAUUUGAAACUGGCAGGCUAGAGUCUUAUAGAGGGGGGUAGGAAGUUUCAGGUGUAGCGGUGAAAUGCGUAGAGAUCUGAAGGAAUACCAGUGGCGAAGGCGGCCCCCCUGGACAAAGACUGACGCUCAGAUGCGAAAGCGUGGGGAGCAAACAGGAUUAGAUACCCUGGUAG
rnacentral:rRNA from 1 species